rnacentral:rRNA from 1 species
AUACGUAGGGAGCAAGCGUUGUCCGGAAUUACUGGGCGUAAAGGGCGCGUAGGCGGGAAUUUAAGUUAGAUGUGAAAACUAAGGGCUCAACCUUUAGACUGCAUUUAAAACUGGAUUUCUUGAGGGCAGGAGAGGAAAGUGGAAUUCCUAGUGUAGCGGUGAAAUGCGUAGAUAUUAGGAGGAACAUCAGUGGCGAAGGCGACUUUCUGGACUGUACCUGACGUUGAUGCGCGAAAGCGUGGGGAGCAAACGGGAUUAGAUACCCCGGUAGUCCACGCCGUAAACGAUGAAUACUAGGUGUAGGAGGUAUCGACCCCUUCUGUGCCGCAGCUAACGCAAUAAGUAUUCCGCCUGGGGACUACGGUCGCAAGACUAAAACUCAAAUGAAUUGACGGGG